rnacentral:tRNA from 1 species
UCCUACAUGGUCUAGCGGUUAGGAUUCUUGGCUUUCACCCAGGCGGCCCGGGUUCGAUUCCCGGUGUAGGAA